rnacentral:rRNA from 1 species
CCCUUAGAUGUUCUGGGCUGCACGCGUGCUACAAUGGCGCUUGCAACAAGUCUUGCCAACCCGAUAGGAUGAGCGGAUCUUUGAAGAGGCGUCGUGAUCGGGACAGUUGAUUGCAAUUAUUCGACUCGAACGAGGAAUUCCUUGUAAUCGCGAUUCAUCAUAUCGCGCUGAAUACGUCCCUGCCCUUUGUACACACCGCCCGUCGCUCCUACCGAUUGAGCGAUCCGGUGAAUGUUUUGGACUGGCGUCAGAAGCGGUUCGCUCCUGACACUACGAAAUUUUGUAAACCUUAUCGCUUAGAGGAAGGAAAAGUCGUAACA